GACGAACGCUGGCGGCGUGCUUAACACAUGCCAGUCGAACGGAAAGGCCCUGCUUUUGUGGGGUGCUCGAGUGGCGAACGGGUGAGUAACACGUGAGUAACCUGCCCUUGACUUUGGGAUAACUUCAGGAAACUGGGGCUAAUACCGGAUAGGAGCUCCUGCUGCAUGGUGGGGGUUGGAAAGUUUCGGCGGUUGGGGAUGGACUCGCGGCUUAUCAGCUUGUUGGUUGGGUAGUGGCUUACCAAGGCUUUGACGGAUAGCCGGCCUGUGAGGGUGACCGGCCACAUUGGGACUGAGAUACGGCCCAGACUCCUACGGGAGGCAGCAGUGGGGAAUAUUGCACAAUGGGCGGAAGCCUGAGGCAGCAACGCCGCGUGCGGGAUGACGGCCUUCGGGUUGUAAACCGCUUUCGCCUGUGACGAAGCGUGAGUGACGGUAAUGGGUAAAGAAGCACCGGCUAACUACGUG
rnacentral:rRNA from 1 species